rnacentral:hammerhead_ribozyme from 1 species
AUCCAGCUGACGAGUCCCAAAUAAGACGAGGCGUGCGUUCUGGAU